CUAAGAAUAUUCCGCAAUGGACGGAAGUCUGACGGAGCGACGCCGCGUGGAUGACGAAGGCCGAAAGGUUGUAAAGUUCUUUUGCUGGGGAAGAAUAACCGCAGGAGGGAAUGCCUGUGGGAUGACAAGAACCGGCGAAUAAGCCCCGGCCAACUACGUGCCAGCAGCCGCGGUAACACGUAGGGGGCGAGCGUUGUUCGGAAUUACUGGGCGUAAAGGGCAUGUAGGCGGCUUGGAAAGCCUGGCGUGAAAGUCUGCAGCUUAACUGCAGGGGUGCGCUGGGAACUGCUGAGCUUGAGUGACGGAGAGGGAGCUGGAAUUCCUGGUGUAGGGGUGAAAUCUGUAGAUAUCAGGAAGAACACCGAUGGCGAAGGCAAGCUCCUGGCCGAUGACUGACGCUGAGGUGCGAAAGUGUGGGGAUCAAACAGGAUUAGAUACCCUGGUAGUCCACACAGUCAACGAUGUGCACUAGGUGCUGGGGCGGUAGCUUCGGUGCCGGAGCGAACGUGGUGAAGUGCACCGCCUGGGGAGUAUGCUCGCAAGGGUGAAACUCAAUGAAUUGACGGGGUCAUA
rnacentral:rRNA from 1 species